CCUACGGGUGGCUGCAGUGGGGAAUAUUGCACAAUGGGCGCAAGCCUGAUGCAGCCAUGCCGCGUGUGUGAAGAAGGCCUUCGGGUUGUAAAGCACUUUCAGCGGGGAGGAAGGCGGUGAGGUUAAUAACCUCAUCGAUUGACGUUACCCGCAGAAGAAGCACCGGCUAACUCCGUGCCAGCAGCCGCGGUAAUACGGAGGGUGCAAGCGUUAAUCGGAAUUACUGGGCGUAAAGCACACGCAGGCGGUCUGUCAAGUCGGAUGUGAAAUCCCCGGGCUCAACCUGGGAACUGCAUUCGAAACUGGCAGGCUAGAGUCUUGUAGAGGGGGGUAGAAUUCCAGGUGUAGCGGUGAAAUGCGUAGAGAUCUGGAGGAAUACCGGUGGCGAAGGCGGCCCCCUGGACAAAGACUGACGCUCAGGUGCGAAAGCGUGGGGAGCAAACAGGAUUAGAUACCCUUGUAGUC
rnacentral:rRNA from 1 species